GCCUACGGGGCGCAGCAGUGGGGAAUAUUGCUCAAUGGGGGAAACCCUGAUGCAGCGACGCCGCGUGAGUGAAGAAGUAUUUCGGUAUGUAAACCUCUAUCAGCAGGGAAGAAAAUGACGGUACCUGACUAAGAAGCCCCGGCUAACUACGUGCCAGCAGCCGCGGUAAUGCGUAGGGGGCAAGCGUUAUCCGGAAUUACUGGGUGUAAAGGGAGCGUAGACGGCUAAGUAAGUCUGGAGUGAAAUGCCUGGGCUUAACCCCGGAACUGCUCUGGAAACUAUUGAACUUGAGUGAAGGAGAGGUA
rnacentral:rRNA from 1 species